UGCCAGCAGCCGCGGUAAUACGGAGGGUCCAAGCGUUAUCCGGAAUCAUUGGGUUUAAAGGGUUCGUAGGCGGGCUAAUCAGUCAGAGGUGAAAUCCAGCAGCUUAACUGUUGAACUGCCUUUGAUACUGUUAGUCUUGAGUCAUAUGGAAGUAGAUAGAAUAUGUAGUGUAGCGGUGAAAUGCAUAGAUAUUACAUAGAAUACCGAUUGCGAAGGCAGUCUACUACGUAUGUACUGACGCUGAUGAACGAAAGCGUGGGUAGCGAACGGGAUUAGAUA
rnacentral:rRNA from 1 species